UACGUAUGGGGCAAGCGUUAUCCGGAUUUACUGGGUGUAAAGGGAGCGUAGGCGGCCUGGCAAGCCUGAUGUGAAAUACCGGGGCCCAACCCCGGGGCUGCAUUGGGAACUGCCAGGCUGGAGUGCCGGAGAGGCAGGCGGAAUUCCUAGUGAAGCGGUGAAAUGCGUAGAUAUUAGGAGGAACACCAGUGGCGAAGGCGGCCUGCUGGACGGUGACUGACGCUGAGGCUCGAAAGCGUGGGGAGCAAACAGG
rnacentral:rRNA from 1 species